GUAGGGUUUUAGCUUAACCGCCCAAUCCUCCAUGGAAAUCUCCCCCAAGUCCGCCGGCGGCGGCGGUGGCGGCGCCGCCACAGCGGCGGCUCCGGCCUCCUCGUCGACCUCGUCCCCCUCCGGCCCGAAGCGGCUCACCACCACUCUCCGCGUCCUCUGCCCCUCAAGCCGAGUCUCCGCGCUGCGCCAGGCGCGCGACCUCCACGUGGACCAGCCCCCCGUGGGGGACGAGGCCGUGCUCUCCAUCUCCGGGCCGGACGCCCCCGCCGUGGCCGUGAGGGCGUGGGAGCGGGUGGUGGGGCACAGGGUCGGGGGCGACGAGGUCGGGGAGGAGGAGAGGGAGGUGCCCGGCGUGGUGGGAUGCCGGAUGCUGGCGGCCAGCGGGCAGGUCGGGUGCGUUCUGGGUAAGGGCGGGAAGACUGUGGAGAGGAUGCGGCAGGAGAGCGGCGCGCAGAUCAGGGUGUUCAGGAACAGGGACCAGCUCCCUCCCUGGGCCGCGCCGGUGGACGAGCUUAUCCAUAUAAGUGGGAACUUCUCUGCAGUAAGGAAGGCAUUAUUAUUAGUUACAACCUGCCUUCAAGAUAACCCUAGGCCAGACGCAAGCAACUUUCCAACUGGAAGAUCAUUUGGGCCUCCUGGCCCUGUUGGUGUAGAUCCUCAUUCUCAAAGAGGCUAUUUACCACCGUCGAUGCCUGAUUAUCAUGCGAGGAAUUAUUCAAGUAAUAUGGCUGCCCCUGGUCCUAGAUUCUUUGUUGAACAAGAGAUAGUGUUCAGGAUGAUAUGUCUCAAUGAGAUGGUGGGGAGCAUAAUUGGAAAAGGAGGUUCCACUAUUCGCGCAUUACAAAGUGAAACUGGUGCUUCAAUUAAGAUUAUAGAGCCUAAUUCUGAUUCAGAUGAACGUGUGAUUGUUAUAUCUGCACACGAGAAUUCUGAGAUGAUGCAUUCUCCAGCUCAGGAUGCAGUACUUAGGGUGCAUUCUAGAAUCUCGGAGUCAUCUAUGGAUAAAAGUUCUGCUGCAACUGCAAGGCUUCUUGUACCAUCCCAGCAUAUCGGUUGCUUACUAGGCAAAGGUGGUUCUAUCAUUGCAGAAAUGAGAAAAAUAACAGGAGCUGGUAUCCGAAUUUUCGGGAAUGAACAAAUUCCAAGAUGUGCACAACGAAAUGAUGAGUUAGUUCAGGUCACAGGUAGCUUUCAAUCUAUUCAGGAUGCAUUGCUCCAUAUCACUGGAAGGAUUAGAGAUGUCAUCAUUCCCGUGAAGCCGCAUCCAGGUGGAGGCAUGCCCCCAUAUCCACCUGGGAAUGCUCCACUUCACCACCCAAGACAAGAACCAGCACCGCCACAUCCCACUGGAGGCAUGCCUCCUUAUCCUAUGCCUUCGUUCAGAGCUGAUCGUCCUAUGGGUCCUUUUGAUAUGGUCGAUCAUCGACCACCUCCUCCUCAUUCGAUGGAGCACAUGGGUGCUGAUAGGAUGCCCUACUCGUAUGGUUGUGAACAAGGAGGCGGAGCUCGACCUUUUCUAGACCAGCCAUCACCAAGAGCCUGGGCUCCUGAGGCAUCAAACAGUGAAGCUCCAAGAAAUAUGCCUGAAACAGUACCAACUACAGAUUUCAGAAAGGGAUCAGUGGCAGGAGUAAAUCAAGUGGCUGCACCAACUAAUGCAACUGAAGUCAUUAUUCCCCGGAAGUAUAUAGGUUUUAUUUGUGGAACCAAUGGCAGUGACCUUGCUGAGAUAAAAAAGAUGUCAGGUGCCGCAAUAACAGUCCAUCAUCCAAAACCUGGAGAUGCAAAUGCAUCAGUUAUUAUAUGCGGGGAUCCUGACCAAACUAAGAAGGCACAAAGCCUACUUCAUGCGUUCAUCUUUUGUGGUCUCUACCAAACUUAGCACUGAGCUUUCAGAUGCAACUGUUCUUUUGUGCUGGCAUGACUUGACUUGCUGGAUCAUAGACGACCUGUGUCCAAAUAUUCAUCAAAACCUGCAUUAUGUACGCCCUCCUCCCGACGUACAAGCAAGCAAGGACACUGGAGCAGUGCGGUCAGCAAGCUCGUCUUUGCUUGUCACAACCAGUCGCCGUUCAAUUUGGCAAAAUCAUCUGGCAAGCUCGCUAGCACAAGCAAUGCAGUGCAAGUUGGCAGGUCGAUUUUAUGAACCAGAGACUUUGCAUAGCACAACAUAGUUUCUUGGAAACAUCAAGAGAGCACGGGAAGCUGGAAUAUGCAAGACAUCUCACAGAUGCGCCGGAAAUAGUAUAUACCAACUCGCACUCUGGCAAGAAAAAAGGACGGAUAUGUGAGACUUGGCCUGAAGGUCUUCCCAAUGAACUUCUGGGCAAUUGCAAGCUUGACGUUUGUGGCAUCUUGUUGAUAUGCUUUCGGUUGCGUUCUAUUGAUUCCCUUGCUUUGAACAAUGUUUGCAGAGAACUGAUCUUGAGCUUUUCUGUGAUCUGAAGCAUCUCUUGCUGUCAAGCAUAGCUGUUUGGUACCUGCUAUGGCUUUUAGCCAGAUAAGGAAAAAUAUGAAUGGUACAAGCUGUGAAAACUA